rnacentral:rRNA from 1 species
UACGAAGGGGCUAGCGUUGCUCGGAAUCACUGGGCGUAAAGCGCACGUAGGCGGACUCUUAAGUCGGUGGUGAAAUCCUGGAGCUCAACUCCAGAACUGCCUUCGAUACUGAGAGUCUCGAGUCCGGGAGAGGUGAGUGGAACUGCGAGUGUAGAGGUGAAAUUCGUAGAUAUUCGCAAGAACACCAGUGGCGAAGGCGGCUCACUGGCCCGGUACUGACGCUGAGGUGCGAAAAGCGUGGGGAGCAAACAGGG